rnacentral:rRNA from 1 species
GACAGAGGGUGCAAACGUUGCUCGGAAUUACUGGGCGUAAAGCGCGUGUAGGUGGAUUGGUGUGUCAGAUGUGAAAUCCCUGGGCUCAACCCAGGAACUGCACCUGAAACUACCAGUCUUGAGUGGUGGAGAGGGAAGUGGAAUUCCUGGUGUAGAGGUGAAAUUCGUAGAUAUCAGGAGGAACACCAGUGGCGAAGGCGGCUUCCUGGACACCAACUGACGCUGAGACGCGAAAGCGUGGGGAGCAAACAGGAUUAGAUACCCUGGUAGUCCACGCCGUAAACGAUGGGCACUAGGUGUCGCAGGUUUUGACCCCUGCGGUGCCGUAGCAAACGCGUUAAGUGCCCCGCCUGGGGAGUACGGCCGCAAGGCUAAA